AGGCGGCAAACCUCUUGAAUACUAACCGUUAAUUCUAUUGUUUUUCUUUUACGUUGUAGGCAAUGGUCAGAAAAUAAGUGUGAAAUUCCAGAAAAGACCCUUUGACAAUUCCAGCAUAUCGUGUACGCACUCAUGGAAGACGGCAAGAUAGAAAGUGGCGUGCAUAGGGCUGGUAGAUGAGAUUUUAACUCUCUUCCUGAAUAAGGAGGCAGCAAUGGCGAAGGGGAUCCAUGCAAGGAGGACCCAUGUAUUUAUAUUGGACUACUACUAUUUUACACCGCAAUUUAAAAUAGCAUCUUAGUCAUCAACAAAAAGGAGACUUUCCCAGUGCUUUACCACCCUUGGAUGGCUAUCAGUAGGAAUUCAAAAGAGCAACGGCCUCAAAUUACUACCCUGUGGCACAGCAAAAACUGCAGAAAAACCCUCAGACCUUGAUUUUGCAACUUAAAAACUUAAAAACUUAAAAACCUGUUGUAGUGAGGUCAGGUACUUUACGUGAAAAUCGAGUAGAAAAUAGCCCACUAAGGUCAAAGCAAGAAUGGAAAACUGAAAAAAAGGCUUCUGUCAUAAGUCUGCAUGUCAAGAUGUUGUAGUUGUUCAAUGGAAGGAACAAAGUUGUAGCACCUGCUUCAAAUUUUGACGUAUCUGCAAACACAACAGCUCCACGUUACUGCAGAGAAACUAAAUCUAAGGUAAAUGUUCCACAGCCUGGCAUAAUAUAUAAUUAUAAUAGAGGGAUGGGUGGGGUAGAUAAAUUAGACAACAUGGAUGCCAACUAUAGGGCCCGAAUAAGACAAAGAAAAUGGUGGUGGCCAAUUUUAUUUUUCGAAGAAACAUAGCCCUAGCUUGCGGCAUUCAUAUGGAGUAAAGUCUGUAAAAGGGAAACUAAGACCAACCUUACCGCUGGAUGUUAGGCUUGAUAAUAUCAAUCAUUUGGUGGAAUAUUCUGAGACUGAUAGAAAAUGUGCAUUUUGCAAAAAAAGGCAAAUUUUGUUUGCAUAAAAUGUAAUGACUUCAAGGCUUAUCACACUAAAUAGGCAUAUCAAAGAAUACAUUUUUUGUUGAUUAUCAGAAUUUUUAUUUUGUUAUUUUUAGCACAAUGUCCCUCAUAAGGGACUGUUCUUUUUUUCAAAUGAAUACAUUUCUUGUUUUUUUUCCA
rnacentral:lncRNA from 1 species